rnacentral:rRNA from 1 species
CUUGACUUCGGAAUACCAGCUGGAAACAGCUGCUAAUACCGGAUAUGACACUUGCCCUCAUGGGUGGGUGUGGAAAGCUCCGGCGGUCAGGGAUGGGCUCGCGGCCUAUCAGCUUGUUGGUGAGGUAAUGGCUCACCAAGGCUUCGACGGGUAGCCGGCCUGAGAGGGCGACCGGCCACACUGGGUCUGAGAUACGGCCCAGACUCCUACGGGAGGCAGCAGUGGGGAAUAUUGCACAAUGGGCGCAUGCCGGAGGCAUCAACGCCGCGUGCGGGAUGACGGCCUUCGGGUUGAAACCGCUUUCAUAGGGACGAAGCUAACGUGCCGGCCCCUACAGAAAAAGGACCGGCUAACUCGUGCCAGCAGCCGCGGUGAUCGUAGGGUCCGAGCGUUGUCCGGAUUUUUGGGCGU